ensembl:snRNA U4 U4 spliceosomal RNA
AGCUUUGCGCAGUGGCAGUAUCGUAGCCAAUGAAGUUUAUCGGAGAUGUGAUUACUGCCAAUUGAAAGCUUCUCCCAGUACCCUGCCAUGACAACUCACAGUAUAGUUGACACUUCUGUGGAGACUGAAUAUAAUUUUUUAAAAAA